AAAUGGAAAGUAUGGGCUUCGUCGCUGGUUGGGGACAGAUUUACAAGGAACCACUGUAUUAGUAAAACCAUCAACCAUGUAUCUAUCUCACCCAAAAAUACCAUCAAAGCCUGUAAAGAGUGCUCUGCCAGUUUUUGGGAGCAUUAGCAGAAGUCCGAGAACACCUGCCUCCUCCUCGCUAUACUCCGAGUCCAGUGAUGGGGGCUCACAGGGAGUGCAGUAUUCAGACACUUUUGUAAGUGAAUCUGGGAUUCCAAGUGUGGGUUAUCAAAGGAAAAAGACCCCAAGAAAAACCAUGAUUAGCUUCAAAGAAAAUGAUGUGACAGAAACAAUAGAAACAGAAAUUCCUUUUACAGGGCGAUCAGUUACGGAAAUGCCUUUCACGGAGAGGAAUGGCAAGUCCCACACAGAGAGAGCUACGACAGAAAUUGAGACUUGCAUAUCAGAGAACGAAAGCGAGAAGUUUGUUACAGUGACAGAGAGAAUUCCUUCCCUGUCGGAGACAAAAUCUAGUCAGUCAUUGUAUUCCAACACGUUUGAAAGUGACCAAUCUAAUCUGGAGGAUGAGAAAUCACCAGUCGUAUCAUCAAAGAGUGACCAAGAACAGACAAAAUAUGAUUAUUCAGACACUUUCCAUUCCACAGAGAACUCGAGUGGCCAACUUUUCUCUUCCAAAAGAGAUAGUAGAUCUUUCCAGGCAGAGACAGAUGAAUCAGAUGACAGCCAUUACUCUACAUUUACGGAGGAAUCAUUGACUGAGUCCAGUACAUUUAGAUCGUUGGAGGAGAGUGUUGCCUCGGCUUCCCCAACACCGGAAUCCUAUACACUCACAUUUGAAGAAGAGUCAGAACUGGACAGGGAAUACAGUACAGAUUUUGAGAAAAGUAGCUCCUUGAAAACAGACUACACUGACACAUUCCUUCCCACAGACAGUCUAGAGGACUCAGAAAAGGUAACUUGUAAAAAUAUGUUACGGUAAAUAAUUUGUUGCACUCUUUUCCAUUAUUUCAAAGAUAUAACAGUACUGCACAUAUUAAAGAUCAGGCUAAGCAUAGAAAGUCAGAUUGACAAAUUGUCAGUGUUUGUUUUCACUAAGAGGAAAGUGUACCAAUGAUACCUUUGCACAAAUGAAAAUUUACUGCAAUAAUUUGUAGAUACGGAAAGAAGCAGAGAUCAAGAAAAUCAGCCAGGAGGCGGAGGAGAACUUUGUGGCUACCAUGAUUACCCACAUAAAACAACAGCCAAUGAGAGAGACUGAUAUAUCUGUGCUGAUUGACAAAGAGUUGGAGGGACCAGAGUAUGAAGAACUAGACAAACAUGCCAGAAAAUAUAUCCACAAAAAGAUGAAGGUACUGAAAAAGAAACUAUAUACAGGAGACCAAGACACGCCUUCCCUAGAGAAUGUUAACCAGUGGGAGAGUAAGAAAACUUGGAGUAUCUCAGACUAUGGAGUCCAUCCCUGUAUACUUGACAAACUCAGGCUUCAUAACUUCAUCCAGGAUAUGGAAAAGGCAGCUAAUACAGAAAUCCAUGAUCCUAAGAAGUGCAGAGAAUGCAGGGCCCACCAAUCUUCGUUGGAUGCUGCAGCUGCUGAAAGGAACUUCAUUCGAUUAAAAACACGAGAAGUUAGACAAAGGGAGAUGGAGGAUGCUUAUCAUAAACAUCUAGUCAAAAUGGAUUCAAUCAACUUGAUAGCAGACAUUGCCCGCUCCUUACCUAGGCCUACUGACGAUCCAGAAAAUAUUGAGGACCAGUUAUUCAAGGGACUUAACUUGUCUAAAUCAAUCUGUAACAACAGACUGUCUGCUACUUGAUGGUCUCAUAGCGAAAUGUUCUAUGUUAAUCCUCCCUGCUAGCCCAGCAGAACAGAUUUUCAACAAAAAGACAAGUUGCAACUUCAAGAGAAUGCUCCUGUAUUUAUUAGAUACCUGUAAAUAAUGUUUUGGCAGAAAUGUCAGAUGUGUACAUUUAUAUCAGAUAGCAAGUGAGAUAGACUGAAAGAUGGAACCCAUUUUAAGAUCAUCACUUUACAGUGGAAAAGUUGUGGUUUAUAGAAAAUAUGAAAUGAUGUGAUAAAGAAUUUGCCAAAAUACAUUGUUUAGAAUUGAUGAUUUGAAAGUAAUAUCAAUAGAUAAUGAGUCAAAAU
rnacentral:misc_RNA from 1 species